AGUGGGAUCAUUGGGCGGUGGGCGGUGUGGAGGAGUCUCCGCUGGUCCGCAGAAACGAACGAAGGCGCGAGAAUCGGGAAGUUCUGCCUCAGUGACCUGUACGCGUCCUAGCCGCAGUGAAUGUUGCUGAACCCCGGUGACCUCACAGUGGAGGGGCGGCCCCAUGGGGCCAUCGGACCGCGCCGCGCGGGGGCGUUCGCCAGGGCCUCCGCAGAAGCCCGCCUGUGCCCGCAACCGCCCCGAAAUUCUCUCCCUGGCACCGUGUCCGCUUUACGGAGCCCGGAGCAAGGCUCAGAAAAAUGUCCCAGCCAAAAACAUGGUACAUGCCUGUCAUCAGGCAAGUCUUCAAAGAGCGGCUGGGACCAGGGGCCGAGGGACCUCGUUUAGAGGCGGCUUAGGGGGAAGGUCAGCAGUUGUGUUUCAGUUGUGUUGGGUUUUCGGCGCCCCACAAUGCGGGCGACGUAUGGGCCACAGGUGUGGAUGCCAGGGACAGGUCGCCCUGCACAUGGCUGAGGCACGGUAGGCUUGUAGUCUACCCCAUAUCAGGCCAUGGUGAUCUCAGGUAUGGGGGCCUGGGAGAGGAGAGUGAGUACAUGGCUGAGUACGUCAGAGCACGGGGUCAGGGACACAUCAGGGGAGGACGCUGGCAGGAGAAUAACCGGGCUCCUGGGUGUCCUCCGCUGAAUUCAGACGCGUUCAUGUUAGAGCAGGUGGGCCUGCGUCCUCCCGGACGAACGGAGUUCUUAGGCAAGGUCCAGAGGAGCUUCUACCUGAAGUGGUGCUGGAGAACUUUGCACUCAGUGCUGGGUGAGACCACUGGCACCAUAACUCUCCCCAGCCUCAACUCUGGUUUUUUUCCUCUGUUCUUUCCAUGUUCCCCUUGGAAGUCGCUGUUGGUCGUGGCACUGAGGCCCAGAUCAUGCCACCUCCUCUAACAAGUGGCUGAGUGGACACCCCACACAUUCUACCCAAGGGCCGUGAGUGGCCAAGAUCGGGGCUCAGAAGUCUCUGAAUCUUCACAGCUGGUCACGUUCAGCUCGGUCACUUCCUGUAAGAUUCCAGGCACUGCAUGCACUGACAUGGGUGCGUGUGGGCCCACUGGGUCCUGCCUGGGAGCCUUCCCUGAAUGUUCAUUUUUUGCAGGUCUGUGUUUGUCUUGGAGUAAGGAUUAUUCUCGCUUGCUGGGGUCAUGGUGUUUUGGCCUCUCCUGGCCUGGACUCUCAAAAACUCAUCAUCCUUCAUAGGUCUGAAGGCUUCUACAUUCCCACCAGCAGGUGGACCAUAUGAACUCAAAACUAGUUGUGGCAGAGGGACCCUGAAGAGAUCUACCCCUGGUGAAUGCCCCCAGGAGUGGGCUGUUCUCACACCUGGUGCCCAGCCUGUGCCCUCGCAGGUCUUGGUGCCUCCACUCAGCUCAAUUCCAGUUUUCUGGCCAUGCCCCGCUGUGUCCCUUUCUCUCUCCUUAGUGCCUAGCUGUGCAAUGUUUGCCUCUCCUUAACAUGUCCUCAGCUGACCCCAUAUCCUCAGUCCUUGCAACCCUGUUCCUCAGUGACACCUGUGUAUUCUCUCCAGUGGAGACACAGGUGGGACACCCCCAAGCUCAUGGUACAUGCCUGUCAUCAGUACCCCUGGACUGUCAUGGUGGGUCAGUCUGCCCUAGGCUGGACUGACCAACCUGUUCAUUCCCCCACAGGAUUGCCCUUUACAGUUCAUGAGUUCCCCCAACUGGAGUGCAGACAAGAGCACUGAUUGAUGGACCAGGUAGACUUGAAACCAGGAAUAGCACAAAAGUUAUCAAAGAGGCUCAGCCAUGGAGAUUGCAAGCUGGGGAUGGAAGUAUCCCUGGAAUUGAGCUGUUCUCACACCUGGUACCUGAGUUAUACCCCUGGUGUCUGGGUACCAAGGUCACUAGCCUUGCCACUUUUCUAUGUUCCUGAUCCCCUACUAAACAGUCCACCUUUUCGCCUACUUCCCCUGACUCCUGUACCCUGUCCCCUCUUUCUGCCUAGUUUGAAGACACUGGUCAUCCCAUAACAUGUCCUGGGCUAAUACAUAUCCUCAAAUCGUUCUUGAAAAUCUGUUCCUCUUCCCUCCUCCCCCUCCCCCUCCCCCCCCCCCCGCUCUUUCCACGGUCUCCCUCUGAUGCCGAGCCGAAGCUGGACGGUACUGCUGCCAUCUCGGCUCACUGCAACCUCCCUGCCUGAUUCUCUUGCCUCAGCCUGCCGAGUGCCUGCGAUUGCAGGCGCGUGCCGCCACGCCUGACUGGUUUUCGUAUUUUUUUUGGUGGAGACGGGGUUUCGCUGUGUUGGCCGGGCUGGUCUCCAGCUCCUAACCACGAGUGAUCCGCCAGCCUCGGCCUCCCGAGGUGCCGGGAUUGCAGACGGAGUCUCGUUCAUUCAGUGCUCAAUGGUGUCCAGGCUGGAGUGCAGUGGCGUGAUCUCGGCUCGCUACAACCUCCACCUCCCAGCAACCCGCCUUGGCCUCCCAAAGUGCCGAGAUUGCAGCCUCUGCCCGGCGGCCACCCCGUCUGGGAAGUGAGGAGCGUCUCCGCCUGGCCGCCCAUCAUCUGGGAUGUGAGGAGCCCCUCUGCCUGGCUGCCCAGUCUGGAAAGUGAGGAGCGUCUCUGCCCGGCCGCCAUCCCAUCUAGGAAGUGAGGAGCGCCUCUUCCCGGCCGCCAUCACAUCUGGGAAGUGAGGAGCGUCUCUGCCCGGCCGCCCAUCGUCUGAGAUGUGGGGAGCAUCUCUGCCCUGCCGCCCCGUCCGGGAUGUGAGGAGCGUCUCUGCCCGGCCGCCCCGUCUGAGAAGUGAGGAGACCCUCUGCCUGGCAACUGCCCCGUCUGAGAAGUGAGGAGCCCCUCCGCCCGGCAGCCGCCCCGUCUGAGAAGUGAGGAGCCCCUCCGCCCAGCAGCCACCCCGUCUGGGAAGUGAGGAGCAUCUCCGCCCGGCAGCCGCCCCGUCUGAGAAGUGAGGAGCCUCUCCGCCCAGCAGCCACCUCGUCCGGGAGGGAGGUGGGGGGGUCAGCCCCCCGCCCGGCCAGCCGCCCCGUCCGGGAGGGAGGUGGGGGGAUCAGUCCCCCACCCGGCCAGCCGCCCUGUCCGGGAGAUGAGGGGCGCCUCUGCCCGGCCGCCCCUACUGGGAAGUGAGGAGCCCUUCUGCCCGGCCAGCCGCUCCGUCCGGGAGGGAGGUGGGGGGGUCAGCCCCCCGCCCGGCCAGCCGCCCUGUCCGGAAGGGAGGUGGGGGGGUCAGCCCCCCGCGCGGCCAGCCGACCCGUCCGGGAGGGAGGUGGGGGGGUCAGCCCCCUGCCCGGCCAGCCGCCCCGUCCGGGAGGUGCGGGGCGCCUCUGCCCGGCCGCCCCUACUGGGAAGUGAGGAGCCCCUCUGCCCGGCCAGCCGCCCCAUCUGGGAGGGAGGUGGGGGGGUCAGCCCCCCGCCCUGCCAGCCGCCCUGUCCGGGAGGGAGGUGGGGGGGUCAGCCCCCCGCCUGGCCAGCCACCCCGUCCGGGAGGUGAGGGGCGCCUCUGCCCGGCCGCCCCUACUGGGAAGUGAGGAGCCCCUCUGCCUGGCCAGCCGCCCCGUCCAGGAGGGAGGUGGGGGGGGGGGUCAGCCCCCCGCCUGGCGAGCCGCCCUGUCCGGGAGGUGAGGGGCGCCUCUGCCCGGCCGCCCCUACUGGGAAAUGAGGAGCCCCUCUGCCCGGCCACCACCCCAUCUGGGAGGUGUACCCAACAGCUCGUUGAGAACGGGCCAUGAUGACAAUGGCGGUUUUGUGGAAUAGAAAGGGGGGAAAGAUGGGGAAAAGAUUGAGAAAUCGGAUGGUUGCCGUGUCUGUGUAGAAAGAGGUAGACGUGGGAGACUUUUCAUUUUGUUCUGUACUAAGAAAAAUUCUUCUGCCUUGGGAUCCUGUUGAUCUGUGACCUUACCCCCAACCCUGUGCUCUCUGAAACAUGUGCUGUAUCCACUCAGGGUUGAAUGGAUUAAGGGCGGUGCAAGAUGUGCUUUGUUAAACAGAUGCUUGAAGGCAGCAUGCUCCUUAAGAGUCAUCACCACUCCCUAAUCUCAAGUACCCAGGGACACAAACACUGCGGAAGGCCGCAGGGUCCUCUGCCUAGGAAAACCAGAGACCUUUGUUCACUUGUUUAUCUGCUGACCUUCCCUCCCCUAUUGUCCUGUGACCCUGCCAAAUCCCCCUCUACGAGAAACACCCAAGAAUGAUCAAUAAAAAAAAAAGAAAAAAAAAAAAUCUGUUCCUCUGUGAGAUGGGCCUGAUCUCUCCCACGGGUGGAGCAGAGGAGUAGAGGGUCCAGGGCCUGAGUCUCCCAUAGGCUAAGUAUUUGCCCUGAGUCAUAAAGCCAGUGGGAGGCAGUGCUACAGUUUGAUUCCAGGAAGUCUCAGACCAAAGUUCUCUCUUAACCACUUACCUUUCCUGGGCUUAAUAGUUAGUUCAUUUAUGUUUUUCCUGGCACUACUUCAUUGGACCUCAUUUUAGUUUCUUCUUUUUUUUUUUUUUUUUUGAGACGGAGUUGCUCUGACACCCAGGCUGGAGUGCAGUGCCACGAUCUCACAGUAACCUCCGCCUCCCGGGUUCAAGCAAUUCUGUCUCAGCCUCACGAAUAGCUGGGACGACAAGCGCGUGCCACCACACCCGGCUAAUUUUUGUAUUUUUAGUAGAGUUGGGGUUUCACCAUUUUGGCCAGGAUGGUCUCCAUCUCCUGACCUCGUGAUCCGCCCCGCUCAGCCUCCCAAAAUGCUGGGAUUACAGGCAUGAGCUACCGCACCCGGCCCAUUUGUUAACAUUGUAAAAUGAAUAUUAGUACAUUAUUAUUAAUGUACAUUAUAUGGGUUUUCACAAAUGCAUAAAUUCAUGUAUCCACCAUUACAAUAUAGUACAAAAUACUUUUACUGCCCCCAAAAAUUACUUGUGCUACUAUUCAUUCCUCCCUCCCUCCCUCCCUCCCUCCCACUGAGUCCCUGGCAGUCACUGCUUUACUGUCUCUAUAGCUUUACCUUUUCCAGAAUGUCAUAAACUUGUAAUCAUACAGUAUGUAGCUUUUUCAGUCUGGCUUCUGUCACUUACCAAUGUGCAUUUCAGACUCCUCCAUGCCUUUCAUAACUUGGUAGCACAGUUAAUUUUAUUGCUGAAUGAUAUUCCAUUGUGUGGAUGUAACACAGAUUAGCCAUUUAUCUAUUGAAGGACAUCUGGGUUGAUUCAAGUUUUGAGCAAUUAUGAAUAAAGCUGCUAUAAUAAUUUGUGUGGUUUUCGCAUGGA